rnacentral:rRNA from 1 species
GCAGUCGAGCGGGGAAAGGUAGCUUGCUACCUGACCUAGCGGCGGACGGGUGAGUAAUGCUUAGGAAUCUGCCUAUUAGUGGGGGACAACAUUCCGAAAGGAAUGCUAAUACCGCAUACGCCCUACGGGGGAAAGCAGGGGAUCUUCGGACCUUGCGCUAAUAGAUGAGCCUAAGUCAGAUUAGCUAGUUGGUGGGGUAAAGGCCUACCAAGGCGACGAUCUGUAGCGGGUCUGAGAGGAUGAUCCGCCACACUGGGACUGAGACACGGCCCAGACUCCUACGGGAGGCAGCAGUGGGGAAUAUUGGACAAUGGGCGAAAGCCUGAUCCAGCCAUGCCGCGUGUGUGAAGAAGGCCUUUUGGUUGUAAAGCACUUUAAGCGAGGAGGAGGCUACUUGGAUUAAUACUCUAGGAUAGUGGACGUUACUCGCAGAAUAAGCACCGGCUAACUCUGUGCCAGCAGCCGCGGUAAUACAGAGGGUGCGAGCGUUAAUCGGAUUUACUGGGCGUAAAGCGUGCGUAGGCGGCUUUUUAAGUCGGAUGUGAAAUCCCUGAGCUUAACUUAGGAAUUGCAUUCGAUACUGGGAAGCUAGAGUAUGGGAGAGGAUGGUAGAAUUCCAGGUGUAGCGGUGAAAUGCGUAGAGAUCUGGAGGAAUACCGAUGGCGAAGGCAGCCAUCUGGCCUAAUACUGACGCUGAGGUACGAAAGCAUGGGGAGCAAACAGGAUUAGAUACCCUGGUAGUCCAUGCCGUAAACGAUGUC